CCUACGGGAGGCUGCAGUGGGGAAUAUUGGGCAAUGGGCGCAAGCCUGACCCAGCAACGCCGCGUGAAGGAAGAAGGCUUUCGGGUUGUAAACUUCUUUUAUCAGGGACGAAGCAAGUGACGGUACCUGAUGAAUAAGCCACGGCUAACUACGUGCCAGCAGCCGCGGUAAUACGUAGGUGGCAAGCGUUAUCCGGAUUUCCUGGGUGUAAAGGGCGAGUAGGCGGGAGUGCAAGUCAGAUGUGAAACCUAUGGGUUCAACCCAUAGCCUGGAUUGGAUACUGUACUUCUUGAGUGCUGGGGAGGCAAUGGGAAUUCCGGGUGUAGCGGUGAAAUGCGUAGAUAUACGGAGGAACACCAGUGGCGAAAGCGGAUUGCUGGACAGUAACUGACGCUGAGGCGCGAAAGCGUGGGGAGCAAACAGGAUUAGAUACCCGUGUAGUC
rnacentral:rRNA from 1 species